UUUUUUUUUUUUUUUUUCGUGCCAUUGACUUGUAAUUUAGCAAUUAUUAAAAGAAUUUGAACAUGGAUUCCCAUAGCUACUUAUGUAAGGUGGCAACCCAUGUUAAAUUAGGUGGCAACUUUAAAUUCUAUGGAAGUAGUAAGACAUUUUAAUUCUAUUUGUAUUUCUUCCUCCCAUCGUACAUCAAUACUGUAUUUAUCAACUAACAAAUGUUUAUUGAAUGUUUAAGGUGGUUUGAGCAAAAGACGUUUUGAGAGAGUAACAGUAGAUGAGAAAUAAAAAGGAAAAAAGACAAAGUCAUCAAGUUUUUAAUUUCAUUAAGCAUAAGAAUAGACUAAAGUUCUAAUAGUUUUGCUUUGAAUUAGAAAUUAGGUUAAUCAAGCUUAUAGUUAAAAUGGCCAUAAAUGUGUUUUGUGUUAAAUUCCACAUUAAUGUUCUUUGGUAAGUUAUACCUUUUUUCUUCUUCUCUCUUUUCUCUCUUGCUCUGUUUCUCUUUCUUUACAUAUAAUCAGAAGUCAUUGGGGUGGAUGCUGCAUUUCCUCCGAUAUAGUCUAGUGAAUUUUAAAUACCUUUGAAAAGAUGAGAAAAUUUAAGAACUUUCAAAGACGGGCAAGUCAACGUAAUUACAAUCUCAAGACAGAAUUAUUCAGAGCGUUCUCAUUGUGGCACGGUAGAAACGAAUCUGACUAGCAUCCAUGAGGAUGCGGGUUCGAUGCCUGCCCUCGCUCAGUGGGUUAAGGAUCCGGCAUUGCCAUGAGCUGUGGUGUAGGGCUCAAAUCUGGCAUUGCUGUGGCUGUGGUGCAGGCUGGCAGCUGCAGCUCCAAUUCAACCCCCUAGACUUCAAACUUCCAUAUGCUGUGGGUUCAGCCCUAAAAAGACCAAAAAAAAAAAAUUAUAUUGCUUUUUAUUACUCUUGAAUUUUGAAUAUUUUUUUAAAAUACAGUUUUUGCAUUUCUCCAAGUAGGCUGCUUUUCACUCUUAGCCUUAAAAGAGCAAAAGUUUAAAAAUAUGACAAAGCUAAUUUAUUAUUUUGUUGUUGUUGUUGAUUAAGUUUUCAGUGGCAUAGCCAGGAAAUCUUUCCUAACCCAAGGUCACAAAGAGUUUCUCCUGUGCUUUUGCCUGGAAGUUUUAUAGCUUUAGAUUUUACACUUAGAUCUUUGGUGCAUUUUAAAUUAAAUUGUAUAUACAGCUUGAGAUAUGUAUUGAAGUUCAACUUUUUGUAUAUUAAUAUCCAUUUAUUUCUGCACAUUUAUUGAAAGACUAUCCUUUUUUAUUGAAUUGCCUGUUCAUAUCUGUUAAAAAGUCAAGUGUCUACAUAUGUAUGAAUCUACUUUUGGAAUUGCUAUUCUGACCUGUUAAUCU
rnacentral:lncRNA from 1 species